rnacentral:rRNA from 1 species
GACGAACGCUGGCGGCGCGCCUAACACAUGCAAGUCGAACGAGCGAGAGAGAGCUUGCUUUCUCAAGCGAGUGGCGAACGGGUGAGUAACGCGUGAGGAACCUGCCUCAAAGAGGGGGACAACAGUUGGAAACGACUGCUAAUACCGCAUAAGCCCACGACCCGGCAUCGGGGAGAGGGAAAAGGAGCGAUCCGCUUUGAGAUGGCCUCGCGUCCGAUUAGCUAGUUGGUGAGGUAACGGCCCACCAAGGCGACGAUCGGUAGCCGGACUGAGAGGUUGAACGGCCACAUUGGGACUGAGACACGGCCCAGACUCCUACGGGAGGCAGCAGUGGGGAAUAUUGCACGAUGGGGGAAACCCUGAUGCAGCGACGCCGCGUGGAGGAAGAAGGUCUUCGGAUUGUAAACUCCUGUUGUUGAGGAAGAUAAUGACGGUACUCAACAAGGAAGUGACGGCUAACUACGUG